UUUUCCAAUAUGAGAAAAUAAAUUUUGUCGGCCGAUCGACGAAGCUGUAUCGAAAUCCAUCCGAAAUUCACUUCCAUCGUCUUCGCUUAUACAUCAAUUCUUUGCAAAUUAUAAGAUUUUAAAAGAGAUUAGUAGCCAUAUUUCGAUGGAUUCUCAAAAGAAGAAGAAGAACGAAGAUAAGUUUUUUUUUAUCCAGAUUAUUGUAUAACUUGAGCACUUUAUUGCAAAAUGCUCCUGCUUCAUUAUUCUUUAUGUUAGAUUCAUGAUACAAAGUUCAAUGUUUGCAGGCGAAGUAGAAUUUUGCGCACAUCAUUCUUAUGGAGCUGAAGCAGUAUCAGUUUAAUUUAGAGCAUUCUUGAAAUAAAAUUUGACAAAGCAUCAAUUUGAAGUUGGAUUCUUAAGGAGGGAAGAGAUUUGGUGUUGUAAUUGGAGGUUUUCAAAGAUCUAUAUUUAAAAGAUCUACUAAUUGCGAGAGAAAUAUAAAGGCCCAAGAUCGACUAAGCCCAAUAAGCUCAUUAUGCACUUCUGGAUAGAGAUCCGACUGCUGGCUCCAAGAUCCGCUGGUAAUGGAUCCAAGAUCCGCGUGUAAUUGCCCUUGAAAUUGUCCAUUAUACCCUCUGACGAUUUCUGUUUUUUAGUCGUUGGUUUAAAAUUUUCCAAUAGCAUUCUAUUGUAAUUUUUUACACUUUAUAAGGUUAGUUUAGUUAGAAUAAUUCCCAA